UAUGAAUGUAAAGUAAACAGGACUUUUCUAUGUCUCAGGUUGAGGAAGAAGAAGAAAUGCCGGCCCUGGAGUUCAUUGAACUUAAUGAUGAGAUGAUUUCUCACAUCCAGCCACGGAAAUCUAACUUCCUCUUUCCGCUGUUUGGGAUUAGGAAGACUCUUUAACGGCACCUAAUGACACCGAACGACUCCAGGAAUGUUGACCGAUGACUUUAUUGUAUUUUUAUUUAUUGUUUGAUGCACAUGUCCUUUCCUGUGCUGAAAUGCUGUUUCCUCAGCUGUUAUGUUUAAGUCUGACUGAAGUAUAAUUUUCGUAUCUGCUCCUAAUCUAAUUCUUAUCUGCCUCUAAUGAAAAUAGCUU
rnacentral:lncRNA from 1 species